UAAGAACAGAAUUUACUAACAAAAUUGCUCAAUUUCUGUUGUGUUGAGUUAAUUUGAUUUCAUUGAUGAAGAUGAGAUUUUCCUAGCUUAAAUUGGUUGAAGGUCAAAAGGUCAGAGAUUAUUUGACUUUUUAUAGUCAAAAGGUCAGAGAUUUAUAUACAUAUAUGUAUUACAUAUGUAUGUAUAUAUAUGGCUUUACUCUCUGUUCAUAUUAAUUUUUAGUAUUUUGUAUUGAAUUGCUCAUCAAAGUUAAAUUGUUCUAUUAUACUAAUUAGAACAAAAUUUGUUGAAUUGAAUUGAUUUGAUGAUCUAGGAAUAUCGUUCGCAUAGCUCAAAUUGUUCGCAUAGCCAGGGAAGAAGUCCAUCUCCUGCACCUAAUUGUUCAAGCUCAAAUUGGAAGUCUCCUGUCAGUCGCUCCCAGUCCACUUCAACUCCAACUGCCAGGAAACUCUUUUCUGAAUCUCCUCGUAGUGGUAGUAGCCCUGGUUCUCCAACAGAAGACACAAGAUCAUCGAUUGAGAAUUCGUAUUCUCAGGCCAAUGGAACUGAGGCUGAAAAUAACAUUAAUUUGAUAAUAUACCCCUGUGAGAGAUUAAAAGUGGUGUCUAGUGAUCCAGUACCAGGCAUAGACGUGACUAAAAGAGAGGUAUUUCUCUUUUAUACUCAAGUAAUGGGGAGAGAGCCUCAGUUGUAUACAUUUUAAUGCUGUGGGAAGACUUUUUAUUUUUUAUUUUUAAUUUCUGGUUGUGAGCUGUGAUGACAACUCCUUUGGUGCUUUCAAAACAUGGGAGCCUAGUGAGUCAGAACACUCUAGUUCUUUGAAGAUAUGGGAUUAUUCUGAUUCUGAGGCUGCUCCUGCUUCUUCUUGGUCUACUCUCCCUAAUAAGUCCUGAAUGUGCAGACCAUUGCCUAUGGAUAUAGGAAGGUGUACUUGUGUUAUUGUUAAGGAAGCAUCACCAGAUGGAUUUCAUGGGGGGACUCUGUAUUCUCUGUAUACCAAUGUAAGAUUUUUCUGUUUUGUUUUCUUAUUUCAACUGUAAAAUAUUGGGGUAAUUUCAAAUAGUCAAUGUACUAUCAUAUAAUUAUAAGUACUCACAUUUUUUCUUUUUUCUUUCAAAGUUGCAGGAAACGUGAAAUUAGUUUCAAUCAUGAAAACUGGUCACAUUACUAUGAAAGAUACAUCAUAUUCAUUGCAUUGCUUCUUGUAGUUAGCUUUAGGAGUUUCUUUGCCUUUCAUUCCAGCUAUUGGUUGGAUAAUAGAAUUGAAUGGAAAAAAUCUGAUCAAUUUGCUUGAUUGAAUUUGUAGCUCUUUCCUUCUGUCCUUCUAGGUGCACUAAUUACCUAACAUUACAGACUAAAUUAUUAUGGCAUGCUAUGAAUUGGAAUCUCAAUUUCUCUCUGGUCUCGUCUUUGCCGGUAGAAUCACUAUCAGUUUCCUGCCAAUUGAGUAUCUUCUUACUAAGUUUUGUGUAUCUUACUGGAACUCCCAAAGGACAAGUGGUUUUGCUGUGAUGAUUACAGUAGAAUUCUAAGUGGAAAAAGUCAUUAUCCAGAACAUUAUUUCUCUCAAGGUCUGCUGCUAAUUGCUAUUGGUGAUCGAGAUAGUGACAUGAUCAAGAGACAUGAAUAUCUGCAAUUAGUAAUUAAUGAUAAAUGUUACAAAUAGAUUUUUAUUAGACUUAUUAAACGUUACAUGAGCUUUUAUCAUGUUUUUUUGUACUUGGACCAAAUUUCAUUUGUGAUACAUGUAUUGAAUAUUUUGAUGGUAUAAGAAAUAUAUUAGAUUUAUCAUCUUAUUUUGUA